rnacentral:lncRNA from 1 species
GCCAUAGUCUGUAGGUGAAUGAACAAGCUACAUUUCUCCAGAAUUACUCAUUUUCUUUUUAAAGAUAAACUGGUCAAUACUCUCCUUCCUGGUAUGGAGGAAUUUUUUGUAUAUGAGAAGCAUUCAUGAAUAUAAUCUGCCCUCUUGCUUUAUUGUCAUAGGAGGGGAAAUUCACUGCUUUCACACCCUUCUGUUUUGGCUCUUUCUCCCAAAAGAUAAGAAUCUUUAUUUAGUAUCAUACCAAGAAAUUGGAGUUCCUUUAGCUUCAGACUAUCAUCAUGGCUUCCAAAUUGUUAGGAAAUACAAGUUUGCAAGACCCCAAGGGGACUUAAUAUUUUACAUCUUACUAGCCAUGUCAUAGGUUUUAAGUGCUUUUAAUGGGGAACUGUUUCACUCAUGCCAUAUACCUGUUUUGUUUUUCUAAAAAAUUAAUACUGUAAGUUGUGAGCAGGUGUCUUGUAUCACUGCGAAACCCAUGCAUAAUAAAAACUUGUUCUUGAGCUAUA